AACGAACGCUGGCGGCAGGCUUAACACAUGCAAGUCGAACGAGAUCUUCGGAUCUAGUGGCGGACGGGUGAGGAACACGUGGGAACAUCCCUUUCAGUUCGGAAUAACGUUGGGAAACUAACGCUAAUACCGGAUACGUCCUUCGGGAGAAAGAUUUAUCGCUGAAAGAUUGGCCCGCGUCUGAUUAGCUAGUUGGUGAGGUAAUGGCUCACCAAGGCUACGAUCAGUAGCUGAUCUGAGAGGAUGAUCAGCCACAUUGGGACUGAGACACGGCCCAAACUCCUACGGGAGGCAGCAGUGGGGAAUAUUGGACAAUGGGCGCAAGCCUGAUCCAGCCAUGCCGCGUGAGUGAUGACGGCCUUCGGGUUGUAAAGCUCUUUUGUCCGGGAAGAUAAUGACUGUACCGGAAGAAUAAGCCCCGGCAAACUUCGUGCCAGCAGCCGCUGUAACAC
rnacentral:rRNA from 1 species